AUGAAGAUUAAAGGUCAUGUAACACUCAUUCCUGUGGCUUUUACUGGCAUUAACCUUGCUCCCAGGUCAUUCUCUGCCCCUGUGGUGGGUAGUGGAGUGUUUCCCAUGUGGUAUUGGUGUGCUGGAUAUCCCUUCACUGGUAGCCUGGUAACACACACUCCCAGGUCUUUCUCUGCCUCUGUGGUGGGUAGUGGAGUGUUUCCCAUGUGGUAUUGGUGUGCUGGAUAUCCCUUCACUGGUAGCCUGGUAACAUACACUCCCAGGUCUUUCUCUGCCUCUGUGGUGGAUAGUGGAGUGUUUCCCAUGUGGUAUUGGUGUGCUGGAUAUCCCUUCACUGGUAGCCUGGUAACAUACACUCCCAGGUCUUUCUCUGCCUCUGUGGUGGGUAGUGGAGUGUUUCCCAUGUGGUAUUGGUGUGCUGGAUAUCCCUUCACUGGUAGCCUGGUAACAUACAAUCCCAGGUCUUUCUCUGCCCCUGUGGUGGGUAGUGGAGUGUUUCCCAUGUGGUAUUGGUGUGCUGGAUAUCCCUUCACUGGUAGCCUGGUAACAUACACUCCCAGGUCUUUCUCUGCCUCUGUGGUGGAUAGUGGAGUGUUUCCCAUGUGGUAUUGGUGUGCUGGAUAUCCCUUCACUGGUAGCCUGGUAACAUACACUCCCAGGUCUUUCUCUGCCUCUGUGGUGGAUAGUGGAGUGUUUCCCAUGUGGUAUUGGUGUGCUGGAUAUCCCUUCACUGGUAGCCUGGUAACAUACGCUCCCAGGUCUUUCUCUGCCCCUGUGGUGGAUAGUGGAGUGUUUCCCAUGUGGUAUUGGUGUGCUGGAUAUCCCUUCACUGGUAGCCUGGUAACAUACACUCCCAGGUCUUUCUCUGCCUCUGUGGUGGAUAGUGGAGUGUUUCCCAUGUGGUAUUGGUGUGCUGGAUAUCCCUUCACUGGUAGCCUGGUAAUAUACACUCCCAGGUCUUUCUCUGCCUCUGUGGUGGAUAGUGGAGUGUUUCCCAUGUGGUAUUGGUGUGCUGGAUAUCCCUUCACUGGUAGCCUGGUAACAUACACUCCCAGGUCUUUCUCUGCUUCUGUGGUGGAUAGUGGAGUGUUUCCCAUGUGGUAUUGGUGUGCUGGAUAUCCCUUCACUGGUAGCCUGGUAACAUACACUCCCAGGUCUUUCUCUGCCUCUGUGGUGGAUAGUGGAGUGUUUCCCAUGUGGUAUUGGUGUGCUGGAUAUCCCUUCACUGGUAGCCUGGUAACAUACACUCCCAGGUCUUUCUCUGCCUCUGUGGUGGGUAGUGGAGUGUUUCCCAUGUGGUAUUGGUGUGCUGGAUAUCCCUUCACUGGUAGCUUGGUAACAUACGCUCCCAGGUCUUUCUCUGCCUCUGUGGUGGAUAGUGGAGUGUUUCCCAUGUGGUAUUGGUGUGCUGGAUAUCCCUUCACUGGUAGCCUGGUAACAUACACUCCCAGGUCUUUCUCUGCCUCUGUGGUGGAUAGUGGAGUGUUUCCCAUGAGGUAUUGGUGUGCUGGAUAUCCCUUCACUGGUAGCCUGGUAACAUACACUCCCAGGUCUUUCUCUGCCUCUGUGGUGGAUAGUGGAGUGUUUCCCAUGUGGUAUUGGUGUGCUGGAUAUCCCUUCACUGGUAGCCUGGUAACAUACACUCCCAGGUCUUUCUCUGCCUCUGUGGUGGAUAGUGGAGUGUUUCCCAUGAGGUAUUGGUGUGCUGGAUAUCCCUUCACUGGUAGCCUGGUAACAUACACUCCCAGGUCUUUCUCUGCCUCUGUGGUGGAUAGUGGAGUGUUUCCCAUGUGGUAUUGGUGUGCUGGAUAUCCCUUCACUGGUAGCCUGGUAACAUACACUCCCAGGUCUUUCUCUGCCUCUGUGGUGAAUAGUGGAGUGUUUCCCAUGUGGUAUUGGUGUGCUGGAUAUCCCUUCACUGGUAGCCUGGUAACAUACACUCCCAGGUCUUUCUCUGCCUCUGUGGUGGAUAGUGGAGUGUUUCCCAUGUGGUAUUGGUGUGCUGGAUAUCCCUUCACUGGUAGCCUGGUAACAUGCACUCCCAGGUCUUUCACUGCCUCCAUGGUGGAUAGUGGAGUGUUUCCCAUGUGGUAUUGGUGUGCUGGAUAUCCCUUCACUGGUAGCCUGGUAACACACACUCCCAGGUCUUUCACUGCCUCCGUGGUGGAUAGUGCAGUGUUUCCCAUGUGGUAUUGGUGUGCUGGAUAUCCCUUCACUGGUAGCCUGGUAACAUGCACUCCCAGGUCUUACUGCCUCCAUGGUGGAUAGUGCAGUGUUUCCCAUGUGGUAUUGGUGUGCUGGAUAUCCCUUCACUGGUAGCCUGGUAACAUACACUCCCAGGUCCAUGGUGGAUAGUGGAGUGCUUCCCAUGUGGUAUUGGUGUGCUGGAUAUCCCUUCACUGGUAGCCUGGUUGAUGACUACCUAGCUGCCUGCUCUACCUUCAACAAUCUAUAGCCAGGCUUGGAUGAAUAUGCAGUUUUUGCCCCUAUAUUGCAACCUAUGUAUGUAAUAGUUUUAUGAUUUCCUGUACUGUAUCUACAUUGUACUGCCUGGGGGAAGGGACGGCAUGCUCCGACCCUUCUCCUUUGUUGUGAAAAAUAAACUUGUCAAUCAAU